GGGGUUGUAGCUCAGCGGUAGAGCACUCACCUAGCACAGGGGAGGCCCUGGUUUCGAUCCUCAGCACCACA
rnacentral:tRNA from 1 species